UACGGAGGGGGCUAGCGUUGUUCGGAAUUACUGGGCGUAAAGCGCACGUAGGCGGAUUGGAAAGUCAGGGGUGAAAUCCCGGGGCUCAACCCCGGAACGGCCUUUGAAACUCCCAGUCUAGAGGUCGAGAGAGGUGAGUGGAAUUCCGAGUGUAGAGGUGAAAUUCGUAGAUAUUCGGAGGAACACCAGUGGCGAAGGCGGCUCACUGGCUCGAUUCUGACGCUGAGGUGCGAAAGCGUGGGGAGCAAACAGG
rnacentral:rRNA from 1 species